GUCGAACGCUGGCGGCAUGCCUAAUACAUGCAAGUCGAACGCAGUGGGGACGGGUGAGUAACAAGUGGGUAACCUCCCAUCAGAGGGGAUAACACUUGGAAACAGGUGCUAAACCGCUACUGAUGGAUGGACCCGCGGUGCAUUAGCUAGUGGGUGGGGUAACGGCUCACCAAGGCCACGAUGCAUAGCUGACCUGAGAGGGUGAGCGGCCAAACUGGGACUGAGACAGGGCCCAGACUCCAACGGGAGGCAGCAGUAGGGAAUCUUCGGAAAUGGACGAAAGCCUGACCGAGCAACGCCGCGUGAGUGAAGAAGGUUUUCGGAUCGUAAAACUCUGUUGUCAGGGAAGCGGUAUCUAAACAGAAAGCCACGGCUAACUACGUGCCAGCAGCCGCGGUAAUAC
rnacentral:rRNA from 1 species